GGAGGUGUGGCCCUCCGUGACCACCAUGCGGGUGGGGGUCGCAAACCGCCGUCAGCGGCGUCGCCUCAACGGGCGGGGUCGUGAGCGUGACGGAAAAGGCCCGGCGGUGACCGGGUCAGGU
rnacentral:ncRNA from 1 species